rnacentral:rRNA from 1 species
ACCGGGAUUGCCUCAGUAACGGCGAGUGAAGCGGCAAGAGCUCAAAUUUGAAAUCUGGCCCCCUCGGGGGUCCGAGUUGUAAUUUGGAGAGGAUGCUUCGGGUUCGGUCCCGGUCCAAGUGCCCUGGGACGGGCCGUCGGAGAGGGUGAGAAUCCCGUCUGCGACCGGUGACUGGGCCUGGGUGAAGCUCCCUCGACGAGUCGAGUUGUUUGGGAAUGCAGCUCUAAAUGGGUGGUAAAUUUCAUCUAAAGCUAAAUAUGGGCCGGAGACCGAUAGCGCACAAGUAGAGUGAUCGAAAGAUGAAAAGCACUUUGGAAAGAGAGUCAAACAGCACGUGAAAUUGUUGAAAGGGAAGCGCUUGCGAUCAGACUCGCCCGGGGAGGUUCAGCUGGCACUUGUGCCGGUGCAUUGCUACCCGGGCGGGCCAGCGUCGGUUUGGAUGGCCUGUCAAAGGCCCCCGGAAGGUAGCGCCCUUUGGGGCGUCUUAUAGCCGGGGGUGUCAUGCGGCCUGUCCGGACCGAGGAACGCGCCUUUGGGCUCGGACGCUGGCGUAAUGGUCGUAAGCGGCCCGUCUUGAAACACGGACCAAGGAGUCUAACAUCCACGCGAGUGUUCGGGUGUUCAAAACCCGUCCGCGCAGUGAAAGCGAACGGAGGUGGGAACCCCCUGGGGUGCACCAUCGACCGAUCCUGAUGUCUUCGGAUGGAUUUGAGUAGGAGCGUGGCUGUUGGGACCCGAAAGAUGGUGAACUAUGCCUGAAUAGGGCGAAGCCAGAGGAAACUCUGGUGGAGGCUCGCAGCGGUUCUGACGUGCAAAUCGAUCGUCAAAUUUGGGUAUAGGGGCGAAAGACUAAUCGAACCAUCUGGUAGCUGGUUCCUGCCGAAGUUUCCCUCAGGAUAGCAGUAACGAGAUCAGUUUUAUGAGGUAA